rnacentral:lncRNA from 1 species
AGAUAAUAUUUUAAAAGUCUAAAAACUGGAGAAAAGAGGUAUAUAUAGAGACUGGAUUUAGGCAUCAGGAUGAAAAGAUACACUGCAAAUUCAUCAAGAAAAAAAAAAAAAGCAGUUACAUCAUCACCGAGGAGUAGAAUGAAAUAAAUCAACAGGAUUACCUUUCCCUUAAUAAUCUUCAAAAUGUCCACGUGAAGGACAGCAAGAUGUUUAAUGGGAAGACCAAACAUCGUCAGUGCUCAAGUCCAGUAGAUAACAAAGAACAGAAAGAAAACAAAACUUUGGUAUUUUACUGGAAUCUGAGUGAAUAAAUAGGGACCACAGGACAAAUGGCAAACAACUGCUUGAGUUGCGUAAGAAGGAAAGAAGAAAUGAUGAACCCAGAUUUCCAAUAAGAAACUGUUACACAAUAUGAUUAAUGGAGCUAACAAGUGCCUAUUACACAUUAGAAAAUCUUCUAGAGGAUUUUAAAACAAAAGGAACAACUUGUCCAGAGUGUAAUUGAUGCUUCCAGUUAUAUUUCAC